UGAACGCUGGCGGCGUGCCUAAUACAUGCACGUCGAGCGACCAGAUGAGGAGCUUGCUCCUCUGACGUUAGCGGCGGACGGGUGAGUAACACGUGGAUAACCUACCUAUAAGACUGGGAUAACUUCGGGAAACCGGAGCUAAUACCGGAUAAUAUAUUGAACCGCAUGGUUCAAUAGUGAAAGACGGUUUUGCUGUCACUUAUAGAUGGAUCCGCGCCGCAUUAGCUAGUUGGUAAGGUAACGGCUUACCAAGGCAACGAUGCGUAGCCGACCUGAGAGGGUGAUCGGCCACACUGGAACUGAGACACGGUCCAGACUCCUACGGGAGGCAGCAGUAGGGAAUCUUCCGCAAUGGGCGAAAGCCUGACGGAGCAACGCCGCGUGAGUGAUGAAGGUCUUCGGAUCGUAAAACUCUGUUAUUAGGGAAGAACAAAUGUGUAAGUAACUAUGCACGUCUUGACGGUACCUAAUCAGAAAGCCACGGCUAACUACGUG
rnacentral:rRNA from 1 species